rnacentral:rRNA from 1 species
GUAGGGUCCAAGCGUUAAUCGGAAUUACUGGGCGUAAAGCGUGCGCAGGCGGUUUUAUAAGCCAGAUGUGAAAUCCCCGGGCUUAACCUGGGAAUGGCAUUUGGGACUGUAAGGCUAGAGUACGGCAGAGGAGACUAGAAUUCCUGGUGUAGCAGUGAAAUGCGUAGAUAUCAGGAGGAAUACCGAUGGCGAAGGCAGGUCUCUGGGUCGAUACUGACGCUCAUGCACGAAAGCGUGGGGAGCAAACAGGAUUAGAUACCCUGGUAGUCCACGCCCUAAACGAUGUCAACUGGUUGUUGGGGAAUUGAUUUCCUUAGUAACGAAGCUAACGCGUGAAGUUGACCGCCUGGGGAGUACGGUCGCAAGAUUA